UACGAAGGGGGCUAGCGUUGCUCGGAAUCACUGGGCGUAAAGGGUGCGCAGGCGGGUCUUUUAAGUCAGGGGUGAAAUCCUGGAGCUCAACUCCAGAACUGCCUUUGAUACUGAAGAUCUUGAGUUCGGGAGAGGUGAGUGGAACUGCGAGUGUAGAGGUGAAAUUCGUAGAUAUUCGCAAGAACACCAGUGGCGAAGGCGGCUCACUGGCCCGAUACUGACGCUGAGGCACGAAAGCGUGGGGAGCAAACAGG
rnacentral:rRNA from 1 species